GACGAACGCUGGCGGCGUGCUUAACACAUGCAAGUCGAACGAAAAUACCAAGCUUGCUUGGUUGAUUAGUGGCGAACGGGUGAGUAACACGUGAGUAACCUGCCCCUUACUUUCCUGGAUAACCGCUCGAAAGGGUAGCUAAUACGGGAUAUUCUGACCAGCCUGCAUGGGUUGGUUGGGAAAGGUUGUUUUUCUGGUAAGGGAUGGGCUCGCGGCCUAUCAGCUUGUUGGUGGGGUGAUGGCCUACCAAGGCUUGGACGGGUAGCCGGCCUGAGAGGGUGGGCGGUCACAGUGGGACUGGGAUACGGCCCAGACUGCUACGGGAGGCAGCAGUGGGGAAUAUUGCAGAAGGGGAGCAAGCCUGAUGCAGCGACGCCGGGUGAGGGAUGGAGGCCUUCGGGUUGUAAACCUCUUUCGUCAGGGAACAAGGCACUGCUUAUGUGGUGGUGUUGAGGGUACCUGGAUAAGAAGCGCCGGCUAACUACGUG
rnacentral:rRNA from 1 species